rnacentral:rRNA from 1 species
UACGUAGGGUCCGAGCGUUGUCCGGAAUUAUUGGGCGUAAAGAGCUCGUAGGCGGUCUGUCGCGUCUGCUGUGAAAACUCAGGGCUUAACCCUGAGCUUGCAGUGGGUACGGGCAGACUAGAGUGCGGUAGGGGAGACUGGAAUUCCUGGUGUAGCGGUGAAAUGCGCAGAUAUCAGGAGGAACACCGGUGGCGAAGGCGGGUCUCUGGGCCGAUACUGACGCUGGAGGAGCGAAAGCGUGGGGAGCGAACAGG